AAUCAACGCUGGCGGCGUGCCUCAGACAUGCAAGUCGAACGAUUAAAGCUCUCUUCGGAGAGUGCAUAGAGUGGCGCACGGGUGAGUAACACGUAAGUAAUCUACCCUCGAGUGGGGAAUAACGUCCGGAAACGGGCGCUAAUACCGCAUAAUGCAGCGGCAUCAUAAGAUGACAGUUGUUAAAGAUUUAUCGCUUGAGGAGGAGCUUGCGGCAGAUUAGCUAGUUGGUAAGGUAACGGCUUACCAAGGCUACGAUCUGUAUCCGGUCUAAGAGGACGGUCGGACACACUGACACUGAAUAACGGGCCAGACUCCUACGGGAGGCAGCAGUCGGGAAUUUUGGGCAAUGGGCGAAAGCCUGACCCAGCAACGCCGCGUGAAGGAUGAAGUAUUUCGGUAUGUAAACUUCGAAAGAAUGGGAAGAAUAAAUGACGGUACCAUUUAUAAGCUCCGGCUAACUACGUGCCAGCCGCCGCCGUAA
rnacentral:rRNA from 1 species